rnacentral:rRNA from 1 species
AUACGUAGGGGGCGAGCGUUGUCCGGAAUUACUGGGCGUAAAGGGCGUGUAGGCGGCCAUGCAAGUCAAGUGUGAAAUGCCACGGCUUAACCGAGGCACUGCACAUGAAACUGUAUGGCUUGAGUGCAGGAGAGGGAAGUGGAAUUCCUAGUGUAGCGGUGAAAUGCGUAGAUAUUAGGAGGAACACCAGUGGCGAAGGCGACUUCCUGGACUGUAACUGACGCUGAGGCGCGAAAGCGUGGGUAGCAAACAGGAUUAGAUACCCUGGUAGUCCACGCUGUAAACGAUGGGUACUAGGUGUGGGUAGUUCACUCUAUCCGUGCCGCAGCAAACGCAAUAAGUACCCCGCCUGGGGAGUACGGCCGCAAGGUUGAA